rnacentral:rRNA from 1 species
GUGUCAGCAGCCGCGGUAAUACAGAGGUGGCAAGCGUUGUUCGGAAUUACUGGGCGUAAAGGGCGCGUAGGCGGCCCGUCAAGUCCCGUGUGAAAGCCCCCGGCUCAACCGGGGAACUGCACGGGAAACUAGCAGGCUUGAGUUCGGGAGAGGGAAGCGGAAUUUCGGGUGUAGCGGUGAAAUGCGCAGAUAUCCGAAGGAACACCGGUGGCGAAGGCGGCUUCCUGGACCGACACUGACGCUGAGGCGCGAAAGCUAGGGGAGCAAACGGGAUUAGAUACCCCCGUAGUCC